UACGAAGGGGGCUAGCGUUGCUCGGAAUCACUGGGCGUAAAGCGCACGUAGGCGGAUUGCUAAGUCAGGGGUGAAAUCCUGGAGCUCAACUCCAGAACUGCCUUUGAUACUGGCGAUCUCGAGUUCGGGAGAGGUGAGUGGAACUGCGAGUGUAGAGGUGAAAUUCGUAGAUAUUCGCAAGAACACCAGUGGCGAAGUCGGCUCACUGGCCCGAUACUGACGCUGAGGUGCGAAAGCGUGGGGAGCAAACAGG
rnacentral:rRNA from 1 species